CAGAGUUGGAUCCACUCAUUCCCCAUUGUCGGUUAUUUUGGAAGAUAAACACAAAAGGCCCUUCCCCUUUAUUUUGUCGGUCAAAGAAAAAAUUGGCAAACAAAAAUCCAAAAGGAAAACCCCCAACCCAUGACUCUUUCUCUCUCCCCGUGUUCCUCUCACGCUGAAACUCCUUCCUCCCCAAAACCCAAAAUCCCAAUACACACUCUCUCUCUCCCUCUCCUCCCCGUGAACCCUUCGUUUCUCUCACGGACUCACGCAGGCCUGCGUCGCGCCUCACCGGCGUUUUCCGAGGCUGCCGAAAAUCUGCACCACUCUCUUCUCCUCUGUUUCGUUGCUGCUAGUGUUGUUCGUGGCUGUCGCCCUGCGUUGCUGCUCCUCGUGCGUCGCGUCGCAUCACGACGCAGCUUCGCCGGAGCUUCCCUCCUCGACUCACGCUGCUGCUAGUGUCGUUGUUGUUUUUCGAUUUUUGUCGUCACCUCCCCUGCCUUGUUUUCUCUCCCCUGCCUUGUUUUCUGUCCCCUGUUCGAGUGUCGUUGUUGCUGCUGUCCUUGUUGUGCGCUAAUGGUGGUGAUCUUGUUGUGCUACGGUGCAGCCGCUGGUGGUUGUAAUAGCAACUCCUUCUCCCUCUUUGAAGUUUCCCUAAAUGUUUCAGGUUGAAGUCAUGAGUUAAUCUUUUGCAAGUUGAAGCUGAUAUGAGACAAUGUAGCAUCGUAGUUGUUACCAAAGUGAGGACGCUUGUCUUUGUAAUAGUUAGUUAUCAAUCUUUUGUUUUAGUUCUUUAUAUGUAAGAGUCGUUAGUGCUCUUGAUUCUCUGUUGGUUGUUGCUUCGCGAAAGCAUUGAGGUUGUUGAGCUUUGGGAUUUGGAAAUAUUUUAUAAAUUGAAUUUGUAAUAGGUUCA